CUGCCAGUGGGUGACGAGCCGGGAGGUCGGGAGGGAUCGAAUGUGCACGCCCAAGGCGCUGGGCCUGGAGCAGGAGUAAGAGAGUGGAGGCGCCUCGGAGACUGAAGCGCGGCGUUCGGCGGGAUCCUUUCCGGAAGCGGAAGCUCGGGGGACGCUCUAAGAAGGUCCGGGAGCCCACUGCGGUUAAUUCUUUUUACCGUGAGGCUUCACUUCCUUCGGUCUUGGCUUCUCUGAGGCUGCGAGAGAUGGUCAGGUCCGGAUCUCGACCGGGCCAGGCCAUCAAAGUCCAAAUGGUCAUUCAAAGGGAGCCUGGGACAAUGGCUCUAUUUAACUGGGACCCUAGAUAGGCCUCUGAGAGAAUCUCUGACUGCGACUUUUCCCAAAACAGUGCCCUUUGUCAGCAUGAAGCAGUUAACAGUCAUCGUCCCUAUCCUAAUGGCAGAUGUACCUCUUCAGAGGGGGACUGAUGGCAGAGGCGGCCCAUCUGGAACAGUGGAUGUGAAUAUGCCAGCUGCAGUUGGGGAGACAUGGCUGGGUUUGCACACUCCAUGGGGCCGGCAGGAGCCAGGAACAGGCGAGGGCCCCAUACCCUACUGAAUUGGUGGGGCAGGAGCCCUGCGCUCCUGGGCACUGCUGCAGCCACCCAGCCGUGGCUGCGGACCCAGGCAUCCCUGUGCUCUCAGGGCCCCAGAAGCCCCCCUGCCCCUUUAGGCUCAGAAUUGCCUGCUCCCACUCCAUGGCCUCUCACUGCUCCUGGCACCUACUAUAAUUUCAGAAUAAAAUGGAAGCCAAGCCUAGAUGCUGUCGGGACCCAGCUGAAUUUGUGUGCACUCAGGGCGGCGCUGACAUGCCCGCCCCACCACUGCCUCAGCCCUUUCUGGACUUUGGGUGCCGACUUUGGGUCCCCUCCUUUGGGAGGGAGGCUGGGAGGUGGUUAGGGGCAGCUUGGCACAGGCCUGCGGGUGCCCUUUGACACAAACAGCCUGGGCACCAUGGACAGCAUGUCGGUAGCAGGAGGCAGACAGGUUCCUGGGCAGAAAGGGGCGGUGCCCUGUUGAAACUCCCACUUCGAUCCAGGAAUGGCCUGAAGCCUGGGGGCCAGGUGCCAGUUCAUGGUGGAGUUCGCAGCCUGGAGUGAAAACUUAUGGUGCUUUUUCCAGCCCCACCUGUGGCCACUCAUGGACCAAUCAGCAUGCACUUCCUCCCUUCUGUGCCCAUUAAAAACCCUGGACUCAGCCAGACUCACACUUGUUGGUACGACCUGCCUGUGGAAAACAGCUACCCACUCUGGGUCUCCUGAGAGCUGUACUGUCACUUGGUGAAGCUCCCCUCUGUCUUGCUCACCCUUCAGUUGUCUGCACACCUCAUUCCUCCUGAAGGCAGGACAAGAACUCAGGACACGCUGAAUGGCGAGACUGAAAGAGCUAUAACAACAGGGCUGAAACAUGUCCCCUGCUUGCCAUGUUGCAGGUGAUGAGAAGGAGAGAAGAGCUGCAGCCCUUCUGGGAGCCCAGACCUUGGAGCUCCCCAGGCCAGAGCUGUGACACCAUCUUUGGGGCUCUGCGGUUCCUGGUGUCUCCAAGCUUCUGGGCGCCACCAUGUUCCCCUUGUCCAGAUGUGGGUGACCGCAGUGGAAGCUGCUUGUGGUACAUCUGAUCCAGUUGCAGCCUUGCAUGGAGCCAGCGCCUGUGCCAGUGCCUGGAGCUGCCUGCCCCACCACAGCAGCUGGAAUGCCUGGCUGUGUGCAGUGGUUGGACCUCAUGCUCACUCACUCACAUACCCCUCAUUACUCCAUGCCUGGCUCACCCCUGGCAGGUGUGGGAUCCCAGGCUGGUAGUGUGAGCUGAGUGCAGCCUGCCAGUCUGAGUGGAUAGAACAAGCCCAGUGGGCUUGAGCAAAACUCAGGCAAAGGCACCACUGGCCACAGAGGUUUCUGGCUGGAAAAGCAACACCUCAAGUAUCUUGUAACACUGUGUUGGUCAAACCUCUUUAGCACACACAUCGCUUGGGUCUGAGCCCAAAUGUCUGUUCAAAUCCUCAGUCCACUACUCACUAGCCAUAGGGCCUUGGUAAUGUUAAGAAGCCUUACAAUGCUGCAGUCAUCUACAAAUGGGAGUGGUAUGUACUGCAUCAGUUAUUGUGAGGUUAUCACAGUUUACACGUCAAAUGCUUAGAACACACAACCAGACACACAGAAGGUGCUUGAUAGAUCUUAGCUGUCAUUAUAUGCUUCAAUAGCAUCACAUGCUUGUCUUUUGUAGGACUUAUCAGAGCUGGACUUUCAAUACUUGUGUGAUGUUGAUGACUGUCUCUCCCAGUAGAGACUUGAACCAGGGAUGAUGAGUUCUUUGCCCACAAGUGUGUCCCCAGUAUCUAGCCUGGAGCUUGGCACAUAGUUGUGCUGAAUAUUCUCCAGUUGCCUCUCCAGAUCUAUCCCCAGCCUCCCUGGCUCUGUGCCCCAGGAGGUUGAAACCUCUGUGGAUUGUCAGAUGGCUCCCCAGUCAUUGAACUUCUGGUUGGGUAUGGCCAAUGGGAGACACUGGCAGGAGAUAAAAGGGUGGACAGAGAAUGAGAUUGGGAUAUUUAUUUCCCUGGCUUUCUCUGCCAGGCCACAAGCUGAUGUAGCUGUGUCUCUUUAUUACAGAUCCCCAUGCAUCUCAGGCAACCACAAUCCCAACUAUUCUCCAGGACAGGUGAAUAUCUGGUAGUGCUUGGCCCCAGGAUGCUUCACCCCUUCUUCUAGUCCCCAUGCACCUAUAAACUGUGCCUUAAACUCUCCUCAAUUAUUCCAGUUAAUACACCAUGUCUUUCCUUCUAGAACAUUGAUAACAAGUCAACAUUUGUUGAAUAAAUGAAGAGAUGUCUGUUUUACCACAUGAAGAUAAUAAUCCUCAGGCCCAAGCACGGCUACAAUUGUCCUGAUGAGCGAGUAAGAGACAGGAAACGAUCACACAUUUUUUAAAGAUGAUGUUCUCGAGUAGUAGUUCUCAAACAUGGGUGUGCAUGAGAAACGUGGAGGGCUUGUGGAACCCAUAUAGCUGGCUCUACCCCCAAGAGAUGCUGAUUUGGCUGGUCAGGCCUGGGGCUGAGGGAUAAUAAUUUGCACUUCUAACAAGUUUUGCGGUGACAUUGAUGUUUCUAGGCUGAAGACCACUUUGAGAAAAACUGAACUAGAGAAGUGCCAGACGCUUUUGUUAUUUAUAGACCCCAAGCCUCAGGGUUGCAUUAACUAUCUUUAAAGACAUAAAAAGUCAAGUACAAUAUAAUGUUUUAUUUUACACUUCUCUGAUUACUGAAAUCUAAAUAGAGGUUUUUGCUAACAAACAAAAAGGAAAAUAAA